GGCAAGUCUGGUGCCAGCAGCCGCGGUAAUUCCAGCUCCAAUAGCGUAUACUAAAGUUGUUGCAGUUAAAAGACUCGUAGUUGAAUUCUGGUCUUGGAUCUCGGUCUGCCUCAAACGAGGUAUGUACCAGGGAUCUGAGACCAUCCUCGAAGAAACAUGUCUGUCAUUAAGUAAUGGGCAUGGGAUCUUCGUCAUUUACUGUGAGCAAAAUAGGGUGUUCAAAGCAGGCUUAUGCCGUUGAAUACAUUAGCAUGGAAUAAUAAGAUAGGACCUUGGUCUAUUUGUUGGUUUGUACUCCAAGGUAAUGAUUAAUAGGAUCAGUUGGGGCAUUAGUAUUCAAUAGUCAGAGGUGAAAUUCUUGGAUUUAUUGAAGACUAACGAGAGCGAAAGCAAUUUGCCAAGGAUGAAUUCAUUAAUCAAGAACGAAAGUUAGGGGAUCGAAGAUGAUUAGAUACC
rnacentral:rRNA from 1 species